rnacentral:rRNA from 1 species
GGCGGCGUGCCUAACACAUGCAAGUCGAACGAGGUCCAUCUGGUAGCAAUACCAGUGAAGAUCAAGUGGCGAACGGGUGAGUAGCACGUGAGCAACCUGCCCCGAAGACCGGGACAACACCGGGAAACCGGUGCUAAUACCGGAUACCCCCACCGAGUCGCAUGGCUUGGUGAGGAAAUGGAUUCCGCUUCGGGAGGGGCUCGCGGCCUAUCAGCUUGUUGGUGAGGUAACGGCUCACCAAGGCUUCGACGGGUAGCUGGUCUGAGAGGACGAUCAGCCACACUGGGACUGAGACACGGCCCAGACUUCUACGGGAGGCAGCAGUGGGGAAUCUUGCACAAUGGGCGAAAGCCUGAUGCAGCAACGCCGCGUGAGGGACGAAGGCUUUCUGAGUUGUAAACCUCUUUCAGCAGGGACGAUUGUGACGGUACCUGCAGAAGAAGCCCCGGCCAACUACGUGCCAGCAGCCGCGGUAAUACGUAGGGGGCAAGCGUUGUCCGGAUUUAUUGGGCGUAAAG